UGUGACUGCGUACCUUUUGUAUAAUGGGUCAGCGACUUAUAUUCAGUGGCAAGGUUAACCAUCUAGGGGAGCCGUAGGGAAACCGAGUCUUAACUGGGCGUUCAGUCUCUGGAUAUAGACCCGAAACCAGGUGAUCUAGCCAUGGGCAGGUUGAAGGUUGAGUAACAUCAACUGGAGGACCGAACCGACUAAUGUUGAAAAAUUAGCGGAUGACUUGUGGCUAGGGGUGAAAGGCCAAUCAAACCUGGAGAUAGCUGGUUCUCCCCGAAAGCUAUUUAGGUAGCGCCUCGGACGAAUACUACUGGGGGUAGAGCACUGUUAAGGCUAGGGGGUCAUCCCGACUUACCAACCCUUUGCAAACUCCGAAUACCAGUAAGUACUAUCCGGGAGACACACGGCGGGUGCUAACGUCCGUCGUGGAGAGGGAAACAACCCAGACCGCCAGCUAAGGUCCCAAAUUACUACUAAGUGGGAAACGAUGUGGGAAGGCUCAGACAGCCAGGAUGUUGGCUUAGAAGCAGCCAUCAUUUAAAGAAAGCGUAAUAGCUCACUGGUCGAGUCGGCCUGCGCGGAAGAUGUAACGGGGCUAAGUAGUAAACCGAAGCUGCGGCAAU
rnacentral:rRNA from 2 species